UACAGAGGCCUCGAGCGUUAGGCGGAAUCACUGGGCUUAAAGCGUGUGUAGGCGGACUUCUAAGUACCUUGUGAAAUCCCACGGCUCACCCGUGGAACUGCUUGGUAUACUGGUUGUCUUGAGCCUUCUAGGGGCGAGUGGAACAAAUGGUGGAGCGGUGAAAUGCGCAGAUAUCAGGAGGAACACCAAUGGCGAAGGCAGCUCGCUGGGACGGUACUGACGCUGAGACGCGAAAGCGUGGGUAGCAAACAGG
rnacentral:rRNA from 1 species